AUCUGGGAUAGCUCAGUUGUUAGAGCAUGGGACUGUUAAUCUCAGGGUUGUAGGUUCAAGUCCCACCUUGGGGG